AAUCCAUAGGUUAAUGAGGCGAACCGGGGGAACUGAAACAUCUAAGUACCCCGAGGAAAAGAAAUCAACCGAGAUUCCCCCAGUAGCGGCGAGCGAACGGGGAGGAGCCCAGAGCCUGAAUCAGCAUGUGUGUUAGUGGAAGCGUCUGGAAAGGCGCGCGAUACAGGGUGACAGCCCCGUACACAAAAGCGCAUGUGCUGUGAGCUCGAUGAGUAGGGCGGGACACGUGGUAUCCUGUCUGAAUAUGGGGGGACCAUCCUCCAAGGCUAAAUACUCCUGACUGACCGAUAGUGAACCAGUACCGUGAGGGAAAGGCGAAAAGAACCCCGGCGAGGGGAGUGAAAAAGAACCUGAAACCGUGUACGUACAAGCAGUGGGAGCACCCUUUGGGUGUGACUGCGUACCUUUUGUAUAAUGGGUCAGCGACUUAUAUUCUGUAGCAAGGUUAACCGAAUAGGGGAGCCGGAGGGAAACCGAGUCUUAACCGGGCGUUAAGUUGCAGGGUAUAGACCCGAAACCCGGUGAUCUAGCCAUGGGCAGGUUGAAGGUUGGGUAACACUAACUGGAGGACCGAACCGACUAAUGUUGAAAAAUUAGCGGAUGACCUGUGGCUGGGGGUGAAAGGCCAAUCAAACCGGGAGAUAGCUGGUUCUCCCCGAAAGCUAUUUAGGUAGCGCCUCGUGAAUUCAUCUCCGGGGGUAGAGCACUGUUUCGGCUAGGGGGCCAUCCCGGCUUACCAACCCGAUGCAAACUGCGAAUACCGGAGAAUGUUAUCACGGGAGACACACGGCGGGUGCUAACGUCCGUCGUGAAGAGGGAAACAACCCAGACCGCCAGCUAAGGUCCCAAAGUCAUGGUUAAGUGGGAAACGAUGUGGGAAGGCCCAGACAGCCAGGAUGUUGGCUUAGAAGCAGCCAUCAUUUAAAGAAAGCGUAAUAGCUCACUGGUCGAGUCGGCCUGCGCGGAAGAUGUAACGGGGCUAAACCAUGCACCGAAG
rnacentral:rRNA from 3 species